CGGUGAGGUAGAGGCGCAGAUUAGAUGAGUAUCCGGCAGGAGAAUGACAACGAAGAUUGCUGGAGAAAGGAUAGUUUGCCGAAGUAUAUAAAGAGGUCAUGCUUUAUAUUGCUGGCAUAUUACUGAAAAAGUAUUAUGCUGUCAUGUAAUGAUUUACAUGGAGAACUACUGAUCGA
rnacentral:ncRNA from 1 species